rnacentral:rRNA from 1 species
GGCGUGUACUGCUCUGCUGGGCCUUACCUCUUGGUGAGCCGGCGUGGCCUUAACUGGUUGCGUCGGGGAACCAGGACUUUUACCUUGAGAAAAUUAGAGUGUUCAAAGCAGGCCUAUGCCUGAAUACAUUAGCAUGGAAUAAUAAAAUAGGACGUGCGGUUCUAUUUUGUUGGUUUCUAGAGUCGCCGUAAUGAUUAAUAGGGAUAGUUGGGGGCAUUGGUAUUGAGUCGCUAGAGGUGAAAUUCUUGGAUUGACUCAAGACCGACUACUGCGAAAGCAUUUGCCAAGGAUGUUUUCAUUAAUCAAGGACGAAGGUUAGGGGAUCGAAAACGAUCAGAUACCGUUGUAGUCUUAACAGUAAACUAUGCCGACUAGGGAUCGGGCGACCUCAAAUUUGAUGUGUCGCUCGGCACCUUACGAGAAAUCAAAGUUUUUGGGUUCUGGGGGGAGUAUGGUCGCAAGGCUGAAACUUAAAGGAAUUGACGGAAGGGCACCACCAGGUGUGGAGCCUGCGGCUUAAUUUGACUCAACACGGGGAAACUCACCAGGUCCAGACAUAACUAGGAUUGACAGAUUGAUAGCUCUUUCAUGAUUUUAUGGGUGGUGGUGCAUGGCCGUUCUUAGUUGGUGGAGUGAUUUGUCUGGUUAAUUCCGAUAACGAACGAGGCCUUAACCUGCUAAAUAGCCAGGCCGGCUUCUGCUGGUCGCAGGCUUCUUAGAGGGACUGUCAG